rnacentral:rRNA from 1 species
UAGCAUAUCAAUAAGCGGAGGAAAAGGAAACUAACAAGGAUUCCCCUAGUAACUGCGAGUGAAGCGGGAAAAGCUCAAAUUUAAAAUCUGGCGGUCUUUGGCCGUCCGAGUUGUAAUCUAGAGAAGUAAUGCCCGUGCUGGACCGUGUAUAAGUCUCCUGGGAUGGGGCGUCAUAGAGGGUGAGAAUCCCGUCUUUGACACGGACUACCAGUGCAUUGUGGUAUGCUCUCAAAGAGUCGAGUUGUUUGGGAAUGCAGCUCAAAAUGGGUGGUAAAUUCCAUCUAAAGCUAAAUAUUGGCGAGAGACCGAUAGCGAACAAGUACCGUGAGGGAAAGAUGAAAAGAACUUUGGAAAGAGAGUUAAACAGUACGUGAAAUUGCUGAAAGGGAAACGCUUGAAGUCAGUCGCGUUGGCCAGGGAUCAGCCUUGCUUUUGCAUGGUGUACUUUCUGGUUGACGGGUCAGCAUCAAUUUUGACCACUGGAAAAGGGCCUGGGGAAUGUGGCAGCUUCGGCUGUGUUAUAGCCCCUAGUCGCAUACGGUGGUUGGGAUUGAGGAACUCAGCACGCCGCAAGGCCGGGUUUCGACCACGUUCGUGCUUAGGAUGCUGGCAUAAUGGCUUUAAGCGACCCGUCUUGAAACACGGACCAAGGAGUCUAACAUGCCUGCGAGUAUUUGGGUGGAAAACCCGAGUGCGCAAUGAAAGUGAAAGUUGAGAUCCCUGUCGUGGGGAGCAUCGACGCCCGGACCAGAACUUUUGGGACGGAUCCGCGGUGGAGCAUGUAUGUUGGGACCCGAAAGAUGGUGAACUAUGCCUGAAUAGGGUGAAGCCAGAGGAAACUCUGGUGGAGGCUCGUAGCGAUUCUGACGUGCAAAUCGAUCGUCAAAUUGGGUAUAGGGGCGAAAGACUAAUCCAACCAUCUAGUAGCUGGUUCUGCGAAGU